rnacentral:rRNA from 1 species
GACGAACGCUGGCGGCGUGCUUAACACAUGCAAGUCGAACGGAAAGGCCCUGCUUUUGUGGGGUGCUCGAGUGGCGAACGGGUGAGUAACACGUGAGUAACCUGCCCUUGACUUUGGGAUAACUUCAGGAAACUGGGGCUAAUACCGGAUAGGAGCUCCUGCUGCAUGGUGGGGGUUGGAAAGUUUCGGCGGUUGGGGAUGGACUCGCGGCUUAUCAGCUUGUUGGUGGGGUAGUGGCUUACCAAGGCUUUGACGGGUAGCCGGCCUGAGAGGGUGACCGGCCACAUUGGGCCUGAGGUACGGACCAGACUCCUACGGGAGGCAACGGUGGGAAAUCUUGCACAAUGGGCGGAAGCCUGAUGCGGCAGCGUCGCGGGCGUGAUGAAGGCCUUCGGGGUGUAAACCGCUUUCGCCUGAGACGAAGCGUGAGUGACGGUAAUUGGUAAAGAAGCACCGGCUAACUACGUG